rnacentral:rRNA from 1 species
AUUGAACGCUGGCGGCAGGCCUAACACAUGCAAGUCGAGCGAGCCGCGGAUGGGUGAGUAUUGUCUGGGAAACUGCCUGAUGGAGGGGGAUAACUAUUGGAAAUGGUAGCCAAUACCGCAUACCAUCAGAUGUGCCCAGAUGGGAUUAGCUAGUAGGGGGGGUAAUGGCUCACCUAGGCGACUAUCCCUUGCUGGUUUGAGAGGAUGACGAGCCGCACUGGAACUGAACAACGGUCCAGACUCCUACGGGAGGCAGCAGUGGGGAGUAUAGCACAAUGAGCGCAAGCCUGAUGCAGCCAUGCCGCGUGUAUGAAGAAGGCCUUCGGGUUGUAAGGCACUUUCAGCGAGGAAGCGUUACUCACAGAAGAAGCACCGGCUAACUCCGUGCCAGCAGCCGCGGUAAUUC